rnacentral:lncRNA from 1 species
AGGCCUUCAAGAUCCCAUCAAGCUGUUAUUGAUCCUAUCGGCAGAGAAGAGGUCAAGAAGGAGAGAUGUGAGCCUGCCCAGUACGCAGAGACUUCAGAAUUCAGAGAUUGGUUGUUACUAGAGAGAUUUCAGGAGACCUUGAAUGGCAAAGCGAAAUUCCAGCCUUAUUUUCUCUUUUAAUGGAAACGUAGAAUGUCUUCAUUGAUUCAAUUAAAUAUCGAGAUUCUGAAAAGGGGCUCCUGGCCGCCACCCCUGCUCUGAGGGCCCUGAGGUGGGCCCAGAAACCGAGGGGCACCGCACACGCAAACCUCCUCCCCAGAAGAGAAGAAAGAUCCCCUCCUCCUAGAGUCUUCCCUCUCUUCAGGGCCUGCACCCCAGCGCCCAGAGGAGAGGCGUCCCUCCUCCAGUUCCUCCCCUCCUGGCCCAGGUGUCUCCAAAGGAUGCGCCUCCUUCCAGCGGGGCUGGAGAUGGUUAGAAAGUCUGAGGGAGAGCCCGGCAGCCUUCCAGGCAUCUGGAAAAAUGUGAGGAGAAACCAGGAAGCAAUAAGGGAGGGGAGCUUUGGAGAACUCCAGCUCUAAUGGCCUGCAGUGCUGGGACCAAAAGUCGGUCAGGUUUGCAUAGGCUUUUAGCUGGAAGGGACCCCAGAGCCCAUAUCCUUAUAGUUUACAGAUGCCUCUCUGGGCAGCGGGCCAGAGAACAGCGUAUGGCCGGGCUGGGACGUGGAGCCCAUGGCUUGUGUUUUGAGUCCUGGAGCCUCUCAGUAUGGGUUCUCAGACAGCAGAGCAGUCAGGAUCAGGCAGCUGGGGUCCAGAGACUUGCUCAGUCAUACAGCCAGGAAGUUUCUAAAGUCAAAUUUGAAUCCAGGUCCUCCAGAUUCUUCCAUCUCUCCCUCCCUCCUUCUUUCCUUCCUUCCUUCCUUCCUUCCUCUUGUCUUCCUUCUUUUCUUCCUUCCUUUAUUUCUUCCUCUUUUCUUUCUCCCUUUCUUUUCUUCCUUUCUUUCCUGUCCUUCCUUUCUUUUUCUUCCUUUUACUUCCUUUUCUUCCUCUCUUUCCUGUCCUUCCUUUCUUUUUCUUCCUUUUGCUUCCUUUUCUUCCUCUCUUUCCUGUCCUUCCUUUCUUUUUCUUCCUUCUUCUUCCUUUCCUUUUCAUUCCCUGCUUAGAGCUCAGAGAUUCAGAGCUGAAAGAAUCUUAAUGGUUAUCUGGGGCCACUCUUUCAUUUUACAAAUGAGGAAACUGAGGAGGUUACUUCCUCCGAUCACCAAGACAAGUAAGCUGAAGAGCUGA